rnacentral:lncRNA from 1 species
GUGUGACACCCGUGGGGCCCCCACAUCGCUCCCCAUCAUGUGUCUGUGUCCCCCCCCCCAGGCACCGAGUGCUGCUGCUGCUUGGCGUGGGAGCGCGGCAGCUCGCGGCGCUUUGUGUGCCCGCUGCUCCCGGCACUGCCAACACCUGCGCCCGGUGCCACCACCGGCAUCCCACACCCGGCACCACGCAUCGCGCCCCGGUGCUGCGCUGUGGGUGCCGUGUGGGUGCCGUGUGGGUGCCGUGCCGUGCCCCCCGUGUGGGUGCCGUGCUGUGCAGCCUGCCCCGGGUCUGCGAUGUGCAUCCCGCGUGGGUGCCGUGCUGUGCCUCCCGCGUGGUUGCAGUGACGUGCAGCCCGUGUGGGUGCCGUUCUGUGCAUCCCGCGGGGGAGCUGUUCUGUGCAGCCCCUGUGGGUGCUGUGACGCGCAUCCCGCGGGGGUGCCGCGCUCUGCAUCCCACCUCAGAGGCACGGAGCGCAUCCAGUGCUCGCCCCUGCGCCCUGCAUCCUGCCUCGGGCCCCGUGCACAUCCCUGUGCUGGCUCCCCCCCAACCAAAACACCACAGACAGGAGCCCCUCAUCCUCCCGGGACCCCCAGCCUCCAGCCCCAAACUCAGCACAACCACGGCAGCCGGAGCCCUGUGAGCCCCCUGUGCCUGCUGCCAGCCCAGUGCCACGUCCCCCAGCCUGGCCGGCACGGUGCUGGCAGCUGGGGGGCAGGGGCCAAGGGCCCACAACACACCCCGGUGCAGGUGACGGCACUGAGCUGCCCCCACCACCCCCGCACUGUGGCUCUGCCACGAAAUAUUAAAAAGCAGCAAGCAAGAAGCACAAAAGCUUCUCGCCCUCCUGCUCUGGCCAGCAGCCGAAUUGCUGGGAAGCGUGGACCCAAUCCUCCUGGCUGGUGCGUGGCGGGGGGGGGGGGCAGAGGACAGAAAAAGUUCAUUUAUUAGGUUAUUGCACGUCCCCCCCCUGCCCCUUCUUGUGCACCAGCAUCCUGCCCCCCCGAACCCCCAGCAUCUGCCUGGUUGGAGCACCCCAGCUCAGAGCACCCGCUGUGCCCGGACGAUGACUGCACCCCAACACCCCGGGGUGUCCCUUGGGGGGAGCGCACCCUGGUGCCUUGGGACUCCCCGUGCCCCCUGUAGGUCAUUGCACCUUGCAGGGAGCCCGAGCACCCAGCCUCAUGCUGCACCCUAAUGCUUUGGGGCACCCCCAUGCACCCAGCCACACACUGCUCCCCAGCGUUUUGGGGCUCCCCAUGCCCCCAGCCAGGCACCGCACCCCCAGCCCCGCGGCGCAGCACUCACGUUGACGAUGGCCUCCUUGGUCUGC